rnacentral:rRNA from 1 species
UGGGGAAUCUUGCACAAUGGGGGAAACCCUGAUGCAGCGACGCCGCGUGAACGAUGAAGCCCUUCGGGGUGUAAAGUUCUUUCGACAGGAACGAUAAUGACGGUACCUGGAGAAGAAGCUGCGGCUAACUACGUGCCAGCAGCCGCGGUAAUACGUAGGCAGCGAGCGUUGUCCGGAGUUACUGGGCGUAAAGAGUGCGUAGGCGGCGAGCCAAGUUUGGUGUGAAACCUCCCGGCUUAACCGGGAGGGUGCGCCGAAAACUGGUUGGCUGGAGUAUGGGAGAGGAAAGCGGAAUUCCUGGUGUAGCGGUGAAAUGCGUAGAUAUCAGGAGGAACACCUGCGGUGUAGACAGCUUUCUGGACCAAAACUGACGCUGAGGCACGAAAGCGUGGGUAGCAAACA